GAUGGCCAACCAUUUGUUACAUCAUCGCUUAUGAAAUAAUCCAUCUUUUUUUCAUAAGCCAGCCUUCCUGCUCAGCAGUGUAGUAGGAGACGAAUCUUUGAGCUACUUCUGCUGGUGUCCUAUGCCUACAACCUGAAAUGGAAAAGGAAAAGCACAUUGAAGUGUUGAGAAGCAGAAUUGUUUGAAAACCCAGGACCAUUUAUUUGAUCAUCUAUUUACUGUCUGCUAUGUGCCAGUCAUUUUGCUCAAUGAAAUGAAGAAGGCAGAUGACAUGUACCAUGAGAAGCUUGCUUUCAAUAAACUUGCAAUCAAGUUGGAUGUAGAAAACCUACUGCGCAUGAAAUUAAAAAUAAAUUAAGCAAUUAAGAA